GACAGGGGAUGCAAUCGUUGUCCGGACUGAUUGGGCGUAAAGCGUCUGUAGGUGGCUUUUUAAGUCUGCCGUCAAAUCCCAGGGCUCAACCCUGGCCAGGCGGUGGAGACUACUAAGCUGGAGUACGGUAGGGGCAGAGGGAAUUUCCGGUGGAGCGGUGAAAUGCGUAGAUAUCGGAAAGAACACCAAGGGCGAAGGCAAUCUGCUGGGCCAAAACUGACACUGAGAGACGAGAGCGAGGGGAGCAAAGGGG
rnacentral:rRNA from 1 species